CUUGCGGCGUGCCUAAUACAUGCAAGUCGAGCGAACGGACGAGAAGCUUGCUUCUCUGAUGUUAGCGGCGGACGGGUGAGUAACACGUGGAUAACCUACCUAUAAGACUGGGAUAACUUCGGGAAACCGGAGCUAAUACCGGAUAAUAUUUUGAACCGCAUGGUUCAAAAGUGAAAGACGGUCUUGCUGUCACUUAUAGAUGGAUCCGCGCUGCAUUAGCUAGUUGGUAAGGUAACGGCUUACCAAGGCAACGAUGCAUAGCCGACCUGAGAGGGUGAUCGGCCACACUGGAACUGAGACACGGUCCAGACUCCUACGGGAGGCAGCAGUAGGGAAUCUUCCGCAAUGGGCGAAAGCCUGACGGAGCAACGCCGCGUGAGUGAUGAAGGUCUUCGGAUCGUAAAACUCUGUUAUUAGGGAAGAACAUAUGUGUAAGUAACUGUGCACAUCUUGACGGUACCUAAUCAGAAAGCCACGGCUAACUACGUGCCAGCAGCCGCGGUAAUACGUAGGUGGCAAGCGUUAUCCGGAAUUAUUGGGCGUAAAGCGCGCGUAGGCGGUUUUUUAAGUCUGAUGUGAAAGCCCACGGCUCAACCGUGGAGGGUCAUUGGAAACUGGAAAACUUGAGUGCAGAAGAGGAAAGUGGAAUUCCAUGUGUAGCGGUGAAAUGCGCAGAGAUAUGGAGGAACACCAGUGGCGAAGGCGACUUUCUGGUCUGUAACUGACGCUGAUGUGCGAAAGCGUGGGGAUCAAACAGGAUUAGAUACCCUGGUAGUCCACGCCAUAAACGAUGAGUGCUAAGUGUUAGGGGGUUUCCGCCCCUUAGUGCUGCAGCUAACGCAUUAAGCACUCCGCCUGGGGAGUACGACCGCAAGGUUGAAACUCAAAGGAAUUGACGGGGACCCGCACAAGCGGUGGAGCAUGUGGUUUAAUUCGAAGCAACGCGAAGAACCUUACCAAAUCUUGACAUCCUUUGACAGCUCUAGAGAUAGAGCCUUCCCCUUCGGGGGACAAAGUGACAGGUGGUGCAUGGUUGUCGUCAGCUCGUGUCGUGAGAUGUUGGGUUAAGUCCCGCAACGAGCGCAACCCUUAAGCUUAGUUGCCAUCAUUAAGUUGGGCACUCUAAGUUGACUGCCGGUGACAAACCGGAGGAAGGUGGGGAUGACGUCAAAUCAUCAUGCCCCUUAUGAUUUGGGCUACACACGUGCUACAAUGGACAAUACAAAGGGCAGCGAAACCGCGAGGUCAAGCAAAUCCCAUAAAGUUGUUCUCAGUUCGGAUUGUAGUCUGCAACUCGACUACAUGAAGCUGGAAUCGCUAGUAAUCGUAGAUCAGCAUGCUACGGUGAAUACGUUCCCGGGUCUUGUACACACCGCCCGUCACACCACGAGAGUUUGUAACACCCGAAGCCGGUGGAGUAACCUUUUAGGAGCUAGCCGUCGAAGGUGGGACAAAUGAUUG
rnacentral:rRNA from 1 species